AGAGACAGGCAGGCCACACUCACUUCAGCUCUCAUCCGUUUUGCACGGCGAGCUAUGCUGCAGAUCUCCUGGGGCUGCACAGACUGGCGCUGCGCUUUAGGAUUCCAGCGAACCAUAGGGAGAACCAUUAUCCUCACAUGGAGAAAACAUGGAACAGUGGUGAACCUUCCCAGGAAUGGCCGGCCUACAAAGAUUACCGUAAGAGAACAGCAACGACUCAUCCAGGAGGUCACAAAGGAACUCAGAACAACUUCUAAAGAAUUACAGGCCUCCCUUGCCUCAGUUAAGAAAAUCCUGAAGGAGAAUGUUCAGCCAUCAGUUUGUGACCUCAAGCUGAAGCGCAUUUGGGUUCUGCAGCAGGAUAACGAUCCAAAACACACCAGCAAGUCAACUUCUGAAUGGCUUGAUGAUAAUGAAGGUUUUGGGGUGGCCUAGUCAAAGUCUGGACUUCAAUGCAGUGGCAUGACAUAAAAAGGCCAUUCAUGCUCUAAAACCCUCAAUUUUUGCUGAAAUCCAAAAAAUCUGCAAGGAAGAGUGGGCCAAAAUAUAUCCACAGAGAUGUGAAAGACUCAUUGCCAGUUAUAGAAAACACUUGAUUUCAGUUGCUGCUGAGGAUGGCCCAACCUGUUAUUAGGUUUUGGGGUUAUUAGGUUUACAUUUUGACGCAGGGCCAGGUAACUGAAUAGUUUAUUUUCCUUAAUAAAUCAAAUCACCAUUAAAAAACUGCAUUUUAAGUUUACUUGGGUUAUAGUUGUCUGAUAUUUAAAACAUUUGAUGAUCUUAAACAUUAAAGUGGGGAAAUUAUGCAAAAAUAUAAGAAUUUGAGAAGGGGGCCAAUACUUUUUCAUGGCACUGUAAGUACCGUAUUUUCACGACCAUAAGGCACAGUUAAAAGUUGUAAAUUUUCUCCAAAAUGGACGGCGCGCCUUAUGUGUGCACCAAGUUCCAAAAUCUAAUAUGGUGUGCCUUAUGUAUGUGUUAAAUACUGAAAUAGACCCUGUAACUGAGACUGCACCUUUUAAUACGGUGCGCCUUAUGGUCAUGACAAUAUGGUAAGCUUGACUUUCAGGUCACUCACAAGACAAUUUAAAAUUGAGAAAGUUUAAUAUUUUUAUUAGAGCACAAUCAUGAUACAGUUCUCUGUGCGAGAAAUAAGAACAGUAGUGACAUCUACAGUAUGAACUCAAUGUGUGUUUUUAAGGGUUAGCACUGACAGUAAAUCCAUAAAAAUCCAGCAAGCACCUACAGUGGACGCGCACUUUUCACGGGGGAUAGUGAUAGUCCGGGCCGGACCACAAAUAGCGAAAAUCUGUGGAUAAUUGCUUAAAAUUAAAAUUUAAAUUGCCCCCCCUCAAAAAAAGACAAAAAGAAUUGAAAUUUUUUUUUUGAAAUGGAAAAUUCUUUGGGGGGAAAAAACCCCCAAAAAACAAACAAAAACAAAAACAAAAAAACGCACUGCAAUGCGGGGUCCACUGUACAGUGUAUUUACUUUGACAAUUUCUUCUGUUUCGUUACGCUUUAAAACUAGACAUGGUUCACUCUGUCUAUCGCAACAUAGUAACCUAUCUUGUCAUCCAAACAGUGCCAGCCGAUGGGUCCAAUCUCACAGUCUGCGCAGAUGAGAUACUUAAUUCUCCCCACAUCGUUAGUGAAGCCCACGUUCUCAAAAUCGAACAUAUCCCCCACUAACCAGUGGGAGGUCAGUGUGUCCCUGUCCACUGAUCCCUCUGUGGCACUGAGGUUGCUCUUUUUACGCAUGGAUGGUAGUAUAAGCUGAAAUGAGAAAACGACACAGCCUCAACACUUGAUCUUUGAGACAGUAGAGCACUAUGGGCACAGAUUUGUGAAACGGUAGCAUUAACUUUACAAAGUGACUUAAGAAUGACAGAGAUAUUUUUACAUUAUUAUAGAUAGGUCAAGAACCGGGGUUAUCAACCUCUUUAUGCUCUUUGUGCUGCCUUGAGAUACGAGUUCAAUAUGUUCCGUGACCAUGCUCAGAACACUUGUAUCUCUAAUAAUUUUCCUCCAGUGAAAUUAAUGGAAAUUUAAUUUAGUGCAGCAUUUAUAAAAAAAAAAAAAAAAAAAAAAAAAAAACUAGAAUCAUUUUGCUAUGUGUUUUUAUAAGAAAAAAUGCACGAUAAAAUUGCACUUUAUAAAAUUAGUCGUCUUCUUGACUUGGCGACUUCUUGACUAAUUUACUCUGUUCAAAUAUCAUUGACUUAAAGAUUUACAACACCAUGACACUGAUGCUAUUGGUUAGCCCUUCUAUGGCAUUUUGCAUUGCAUGAAGCUAAACACACUUUAUCAAGGCAAAGUUAUUCGUUUUAUGGUAUACACAACAUGUAAUUCUCUUUGUUUGAUGUUUACUUUGACAGUAAACUUCAAAUUGUACUGACAAACAGCUUGAAGCCUCUUUUUUUAAUAAGUGUUCACUAUCUGCCAAGUUGCUGCUUGUUGUGAAGUGAGUUGAGUUUAGAUCACUGCCACCAUACACUGCUCGUAUCUGAAGUUUUUGCUUGCAAGUCAAACCAAAAAAUAAUAAAAUAAAUAAAAAGGGGAAAAAAAUUAAAUAAAUAAAGAAAUCGUCCGAACGGCGACUUGCAUUUCGGAAAACUCAUAAGUUAGGGCACUAAUGUUUUGAGGCCAAUGUAUAACAUCAUACUUGGCAAUAAUUUGUAGUCAAAGGAGUCUUUCCUAUAAAGAAGCCUUAAAGUCUAAGGACCUCACCAAAUUUGGAGUUUACUGGGACAAGCCUUCACUGCAGCGACUUUCACUUUGCUGCUAGUUUAUGGAUCUUGCUGCCUUCACUUUUGUCUCUAGUAAGUGAAACGGAUGCACCACUGACUUGACUAUUGAAAACCAUUGCAUUUCUUUUCCUUUAAAAACUCUUGUAUUAUUCUGAAGUGACACAGAAUUUCUCCCUUGGUGAAGAUAAAUGUUCACAUCAUCAACAUAUGUCACGAAUACACUGGAAAGGUUAGGCGUACCAGUAUCAUUGUUAAAAUGUACAAUCAAUCAGGAAAAGCCUUCAUGAAUGUAAAAACAGAGCGUUUACAACAAGUUCAUGAACAGGCAAGGUAGAUUUAUUUGAAUUCACCAGAAAAUAUUAAAAAGUCACCCACGUCCUGGAAUGACAUUCUUUGGACAGCUAAAACUAAGGUCAACUAGUAUCAGAAUGACGGGAAGAGAAAACUAUGGAGAAGGAAAGGAACAGCUUAUGACUUAAAGCAAGCCACAUCAUUUGUCAAACAUGGUUGAGACAGUAUUACGACAUGGGAUUGGGCAUGUAUGGCUUUUUAUUUUUUAUUAUUUUGUCCUGUUUGGCUGUUAGGUCAAGCAGAAUGGAAAAUCUGUAUCCCUUUUAUACCGAAACAGUUUUACUGUUUCACAGUGGAGUUUUUAAGCUUCCGCUGUGGUAUUAUAAUUGAGGUUUAUUGAGAAUCACACUUGAUCAGUCGAAGAGAACAAAGUUUCUAGACGGGAGAAAGAAACAAAGACAAAAUACAAAGCACUAAUUGUAAACCGGAUGAGAGACGUAAAACAUUACAUUAUCUACAACAAUGAAACGUUAAAUAUGAGUGUUGCAUGGGGCUGUAGUGCUACACCCUGUGGGGGAAGGACAGGACAAGAUAGAACAGGACAAGGACAGGAGAAGAAGCAUGCAGAACCAGGGCCGUGAACCCGGCUGUACAACUGAAAUGUGGUGGCAUUCAUUAUGUAAAUUAUAAAAGUGUACAGGACUAGAGUAUAAGUGAGGGGAUACACAAGCGAUUUGCAUAUUCAUGAAUUAUUUGUUGCAGUAAGGGGUGUGUGCCUGUGGAUACAUGCAAGUGAAUUGAUACCGUUUUCCAUGCACAAAGACUGAAAGAAGUGUCCUGUAAUUGCUGUGGCCACACUGCAAUAAUGUGGUUACACAAGUUCAGACACCUUCUAACUUCUAACAUGUGUGUUCAACCAGUCACAUUCAAACGCAUGUUAAAAGGGAGUCCGCAUACACCUGCCACUAUUUAAACCAGGUCAAGCUGAAGAAAAACAGCCCUAAAGCAGCUGCCAUCAGUGCCCACCACCGGGCUUCACCGUGAGUAUGGUGGUGGCAGUUCUUUUGGUGAUGAGCAGAGUUGUGUGUGCGCAAAACCCCUUUAGAUUUAUGGCCAAAAGGUUCGACCUUGGUUUUAUCAGACCAUAACACAUUUCCCCACAUGCGUUUGAGAGAAUUUAAGUGUGUUUUUUAAAAAUUAUGAAGGGGUAGGACAGAAGACUCCAAAGAUGUAGAUAUAUGAAGCUAAUUGUUUAUAUUUUUCAUCAAAUUGUUUUAUCUCAUCUCUCACAUUGUUUUGACUGUUCGUAUAGUAGACAGAUCCUUUCAACUCCUUUUGUUAUUAAUUUUAUUCUGUGACCGUUGUGUGUGUUAUUGUUCAGCAAGUGAAACCCAUUGAUUUAUAAUCCAUGUAUCGAUGCAUACUGCAUUUUAGGGUGAGACAGUAAAGAUUCAUUUCAACCUCCUCAAAGUGUUUUCCUAACUCGUGUUCCUGUACAGAUGGCCCCACCUUCCUGUCAUUGGAAAUUAUUUAGCUAAAUCAUAUUUUACUACACUUAUGUUCUUUAUAGAUUAACAGACUGUAAUAUAACACUCUAAUAUAACUUUUAGUGGCUCAUACAACAUUAAUUUUUAGAAGUUUGUAUUUUGCUUAAAGUCACGCUUCACAUGUUAAACUUUCCCAAUUUCAGUUUAACGUAUGUAUUAGGCACCCAAAUGUUAGAUGUGUUGAGCCAUUGUGUUCUUUACCCAUGACCCUUAUUUCGCCAAAAUUUUGUCAAGCCCUUUCCACACAAUCAUAAAGUGCCCUCAGAGCUGUCCAGCGCGAUCCGGCCAAAUAGCCUUGAGGCACUAAUGAUGCUUUGACUACAAAGUGUGAUUGUGAGGUUGUUAUCUGAGGACAAUAAAAGCUGAAGUGUGAGAACCUAUUGCUUGUCAACCACAGCUUCAGCUGGCAAAUAUUAAAUUGUUGCAACUUUCGGCUUGUCCCAUCAGGGGUCACUAGAGAAUUCAGUCACAUUAUUUGUUUGGGACAGUUUUUACACCAAAUGACCUUCAUGACACAACACACCCAUUUUUAUCUAGGCUUGGGAUGGGCCAUGGCUGGAAGUGGGAGUCAAACCAGUACCGUCUGCUUGAAAGGCAGCAGCAUGUGCCACUCCACCCCCAGUGCAGCUAAUAAAUAUAAAAAAUAUAUAUACACUUUUUUUAUGAUUGGAGUUGGAUUUGCAUUUAGUAUUUGUAGUCCCAUUUCAAAGUUUAAUAUUAUAUAUAGUACGCACGCACGCACGCACACACACACACACACACACACAGUGGGUACGGAAAGUUUUCAGACCCCCUUAAAUUUUUCAUUCUGUUACAUUGCAGCCAUUUGUUAAACUCAUUUAAGUUAAUUUUUUUCCUCAUUAAUGUACACAUAGCACCCCAU